rnacentral:rRNA from 1 species
AAUCAACGCUGGCGGCGUGCCUAACACAUGCAAGUCGAACGAGAAAGGGGACUUCGGUCCCUGAGUACAGUGGCGCACGGGUGAGUAACACGUGACUUAUCUACCCUCGAGUGGGGAAUAACUUCGGGAAACCGAGGCUAAAUACCGCAUAAUACCCACGGGUCAAAGGAGCAAUUCGCUUGAGGAGGAGGUCGCGGCCCGAUUAGUUAGUUGGCGGGGUAAUGGCCCCCACCAAGACGGUGAUCGGUAUCCGGCCUGAGAGGGCGCACGGACACACUGGAACUGAAACACGGUCCAGACUCCUACGGGAGGCAGCAGUGGGGAAUUUUGCGCAAUGGGGGAAACCCUGACGCAGCAACGCCGCGUGGAGGAUGAAGUCUCUUGGGACGUAAACUCCUUUCGAUCGGGACGAUUAUGACGGUACCGGAAGAAGAAGCCCCGGCUAACUUCGUG